CAGGGGAUAGUUUAAGUAGAAUGUCAGCUUUGGGUGCUGAUGGUGGGGGUUAUUUCCUCUCCCUUGA